rnacentral:lncRNA from 1 species
UUGGUUUGAAUCUCCUUUCCCUUUUUUCUUAUCUGUAUCUAUUAUAUGUUUAGUUUUAUUGGAAUCGUCUUUAUGUUUGCCGUUGAUUCGUGUUCUUGUUUGUACCUUCAUACUGUUUGAUUGAAUGAUACUAUUUGCUAUAUUGAUCUUGGGAUAGAUAAUAUGUUGGUGUCUCUGUUGGAGCUCCUUCGGCCACAGACCUAACUGGUAAAGUCUGAUGAAGGAUCUUUGGUUUGUCCCAUGGGGCUUUGGUGUAGUGGUAAGAGCCUAGCAGAUGAUGUCUGGAUUAGGAGCUAGUCAGUGGUUCGAACCCAGUAUGUCAGUGAGAAAGGUUACGGGGGGCUGAGCCGUUAUCCCGAGUAUAAAAAAAAAUAAAGGAGCUUAGGUUCUUCACAAUAUUGCCUAGCUUGGUAUUCACCUUGUCCAGCUUGCUGCUGUGCCUCUAGAAAUCCCACCAAAAUCCAACCAAUAUUAAGUGUGAGGUCCUCUCUGUUUCCUCAUUUAAUUCAGAGCAAUAGGCCAUUGUCUUAGUAUGUAUAAGCCCUCCAAUUCACUUUAGCCUUGUUAGGUUAAAAGGGUAGGCGGGUCUUGCAAUAGUUAGUUUGAGAAUCCCUAAUAUAUGGGACCGAUGUGUUAUUGUCUCUUUAGUUGAUCACCUUUAUCAUGGGCCCUAUGUUAGGAAUUGGCACAUCUUAUGCAAUAAAAUAGUGGAUUACCUACCUUAGGAGUCAUGUGUGAGGAGGACAUGGGUAUCUUCUGCUAUUUGAAGUGUUGCAAAGAAGAAUUUGAUGCUGGUGAUUUCGGGAAAUGAUUGGAUUGAAUCUUUAGAAACAUUUUGUUUUGGAGCUAGAUAGGCAACUACUAAUGCAGAAGCUUUUGAGUCUCAAGAAACUGGGAGUAGGACUCUUUGAAUUCUUAAAUAUAUUUGUACUCCCUGCUAAACUGGCAGAAGCUAUCCUAACCAAUAGGAUCCCCGUAGAAAGUUGUUGGUAGUUCCUUCUCUUUUCUUUAUCAAAGCUAAAUUAGGUUUCCUUCACUAAUGGAUACCAUUAUGGAGGAGGGUGAAGUGUAUUCGUCUUACUUGAAUUUGGAUAGAAUGGUGAAAGAAACUAGAAUUGGCUGUGUUGAUGGAGAAAAUCCUUGCUUCCUGAGUCCCCUAUAGUCACUUUUCUGUAAUUUGGCCCCAGGAUAUUUGGUGAAGAAUGGAAGAAGGGGUGCCUUUCCUUACAAAAAGGAGGUUUUUUAUUGAUCUUCUAAAGCUACUUGUGCCUUGAAACGAAAUCUAUCCUUUGAGUUUAUGGCUUUUCAUCCUCACCUUUGAUUACCUAUAGGGCCUUGGGCAAAGGUUUUACCUUUAGUCUAAGCUGAAGAUUCAUUUUGUUUAACGUGGGAGUACGAAUUUAGUGCUUAUCAGGCUGUUCCUAUUUUAUUGUUUGUACCCUCUUUACAAAUCAUUACCACAUGGAACUGUUUUAAACUUGUUCCUUGUGCCUUGAAACGAAAUCUAUCCUUUGAGUUUAUGGCUUUUCAUCCUCACCUUUGAUUACCUAUAGGGCCUUGGGCAAAGGUUUUACCUUUAGUCUAAGCUGAAUAUUCAUUUUGUUUAACGUGGGAGUACGAAUUUAGUGCUUAUCAGGCUGUUCCUAUUUUAUUGUUUGUACCCUCUUUACAAAUCAUUACCACAUGGAACUGUUUUAAACUUGUUCCAUAUACGUGUUUGCUAAGGCUUUUUAUUUUUCUCUGAGACCUUUAGACUUUCUCACAUGUAGGCAUAUAGGCAGUUUGCCCAAGCACCAAUUUGGUGAAAAUGAUUACAGUGCCCUUAUGUACCCUAGUUUUAGCCAUGCUUCUUGUAUUCCCUUUUAGUAGCUGUCAGUUGUUGCUAUUGAAUUAUUUUCCGUAAAUUUACUGAUUUAUGCUGUUAUUAGUUGAUUCUUUGGUCCUUUUUGUUUCCUUCUGUCAGCAUCUUGUCUCGGUAUUGUCUAUACUACAGGGACACAGUCAUUAAUAUCUGUCUCUUGUUCCUCUCUAAUUCUGGUGAUGAUAAACUUUGGCGUUCCCUCUUUUUGAGUAGAGCUUUUGGAUGUUGAAAUUUUACUUGCUGUGAACUGGUUCAUUUUGUUAUUUCCCAGGC